GCCUGGGUGGCUCAGUCAGUUGAGCGACUGACUUCAGCUCGGGUCAUGAUCACACGGUUUGUGAGUUCGAGCCCCACAUCGGGCU
rnacentral:tRNA from 1 species